GACGAACGCUGGCGGCGUGCCUAAUACAUGCAAGUAGAACGCAGUUGCGAACGGGUGAGUAACGCGUAGGUAACUGCCUCAUAGCGGGGGGUGACUAUUGGAAACGAUAGCUAAUACCGCCUACUGGGAGAUGGAUCUGCGUUGUAUUAGCUAGUUGGGGAGGUAAAGGCACACCAAGGCGACGAUACAUAACCGACCUGAGAGGGUGGUCCGGCACACAUGGACGUGGAAACGGGCCAGACCUCUUAGGGAAGCAGGCGUAGGGAAACUUCGGCAAUGGACUGAAGUCUGACCGAACAACGCCGCGGGAGGGAAGAAAGUUUUCGGAGCGUAAAGCUCUGUUGUUAGAGAAGCGGUAACUAACCAGAAAGGGACGGCUAACUACGUGCCAGCAGCCGCGGUAAUAC
rnacentral:rRNA from 1 species